UACGAAGGGUGCUAGCGUUGCUCGGAAUUACUGGGCGUAAAGGGAGCGUAGGCGGACGUUUAAGUCAGGGGUGAAAUCCCAGAGCUCAACUCUGGAACUGCCUUUGAUACUGGAUGUCUUGAGUGUGAGAGAGGUAUGUGGAACUCCGAGUGUAGAGGUGAAAUUCGUAGAUAUUCGGAAGAACACCAGUGGCGAAGGCGACAUACUGGCUCAUUACUGACGCUGAGGCUCGAAAGCGUGGGGAGCAAACAGG
rnacentral:rRNA from 1 species